rnacentral:rRNA from 1 species
UGGGGAAUAUUGCACAAUGGGCGCAAGCCUGAUGCAGCCAUGCCGCGUGUAUGAAGAAGGCCUUCGGGUUGUAAAGUACUUUCAGUCGGGAGGAAGGUGUCAAGGUUAAUAACCUUGGCAAUUGACGUUACCGACAGAAGAAGCACCGGCUAACUCCGUGCCAGCAGCCGCGGUAAUACGGAGGGUGCAAGCGUUAAUAGGAAUUACUGGGCGUAAAGCGCACGCAGGCGGUUGAUUGAGUCAGAUGUGAAAUCCCCGGGCUUAACCCGGGAAUUGCAUCUGAUACUGGUCAGCUAGAGUCUUGUAGAGGGGGGUAGAAUUCCAUGUGUAGCGGUGAAAUGCGUAGAGAUGUGGAGGAAUACCGGUGGCGAAGGCGGCCCCCUGGACAAAGACUGACGCUCAGGUGCGAAAGCGUGGGGAGCAAACA